rnacentral:misc_RNA from 1 species
GAUGAAGAACGCAGCAAAAUGCGAUAAGUAAUGUGAAUUGCAGAAUUCAGUGAAUCAUCGAAUCUUUGAACGCACAUUGCGCCCGCUGGUAUUCCGGCGGGCAUGCCUGUUCGAGCGUCAUUUCAACCCUCAAGCCCCCGGGUUUGGUGUUGGGGAUCGGCGAGCCUCCGCGCCCGCCGUCCCCUAAAUCUAGUGGCGGUCUCGCUGUAGCUUCCUCUGCGUAGUAGCACACCUCGCACUGGGAAACAGCGCGGCCACGCCGUUAAACCCCCAACUUCUGAACGUUUGACCUCGGAUCAGGUAGGAAUACCCGCUGAACUUAAGCAUAUCAAUAAGCGGAGGA